GUGACAAUAAUGGGGUAUACCCAAUGAAAAAUGGGUACAAAUGGAUUAUGGCUGAGGAUACAGACAUUCUAAAUGAUGAUAGAGUAUUACAGAUUACACUGCUUAAAGCUUUCUACACAAAGCUUUGGAAUUUACAAGUUGCCACCAAAAUAAAAGUUACACUGUAGAGAAUAGAAAAUAGUUACAUGCCUACUUGUUAGCUCGAAAGAUCAGCUUGAAAUCACCAAGAGGGGGUGAAUUUGUUUAUUAAGAAAUUUGUGGAAACAACGAAUGAAUGAGCAACAAUGAAGUAACGAUUUAUAGUGGUUUGGCCCCAAUUGCCUACUCCAUUACCUUAGCUGUCCACAGACCAGAAAGAAAUCAGUUCUAAAAGUCCUCAUUAGAAAUUCUAAAUAGUUAAUUAUGGGCACGUGUAUGUACCUGAUUGAAUGCGUGUUGGAUCCAACAAUAGUAGAGGCACGUACAUGCUUGCAAGCUUUACAGUUUGUCAAAGAUUUAGGUUUUCAACGAAUUUUGGUAGAGGGAGAUGCAUUGAUAGUAAUAAGAAAGAUGAAAUCAACUGAAGAGGAUAAAUCAAGAAUAGGUAUGCUAAUUAGAGCUAAUAAAUACAAAUUUAAGAAGUUUAAAGAAAUAGAGAUUCGUUACGUACCUCGGGAAGCAAAUAUAGCCACCCAUGGUUUAGCUUGAGAAGGAAAGUGGUUUGAACUGGCCAAAUGCUGGAUCGAAGAAGCCUCACCGAGAGUGAAAGAGUUGGUUACAGAAAAUAAACGACUACAAUUGGAAGGAAAUGAGGGAAGUUUCGAGUGGAAUCAGAGAAAAGAUGUCAUGAAAUCUCUAAUGAGUUUUGUUCGGUUAGAGAAAUGAAAUCAGGACCGUCAAUUUUUUAUACAAAGGAAGAUUUUGAGUUUUGGAUUGCCUAAUCUUUCAUUGGUGAAGAACUGAUUUGGGGAAGAAGAGGAAACCGUUCAAUUUCCCAUUGGUUUCUAUUUAUUUUUUAUUUUCUUUAGAUUUGGCUGUUUG
rnacentral:lncRNA from 1 species